AGCUCUGUAAGCGUAUACCAAAGUUGUUGCAGUUAAAACGCUCGUAGUCGGACGUUGGUGGGCGUCUCAAGUCGGCCUCACGGCUGGUCUUGUGGGCGGCCGCCUUUGUGGAGGGGGGCUUCGUGGUGCUUCAUUGUCAUCGCGGAGUCGCUGCCACCGUUUACUGUGAAAAAAUUAGAGUGUUCAAAGCGGGCGUUUGCCAUGAAUACAUUAGCAUGGAAUAAUAGAAUAGGACCUGGUCCUGUUUUGUUGGUUUGUGAGUAUCAGGUAAUGAUUAAGAGGGACGGUUGGGGGCAUUUGUAUUCCGGGGUUAGAGGUGAAAUUCUUGGAUCCUCGGAAGACAAACAGCUGCGAAAGCGUCUGCCAAGGACGUUUUCA
rnacentral:rRNA from 1 species